ensembl:rRNA 5S_rRNA 5S ribosomal RNA
GCCAACGGCCAUACCACCCUGAAAGCGCCCGAUCUCGUCUGAUCUCGGAAGCUAAGCAGGGACGGGCUUGGUUAGUACCUGGAUGGGAGACCGCCUGGGAAUACCAGGUGUUGUAGGCU